UACGAGGGGUGCAAGCGUUAAUCGGAAUUACUGGGCGUAAAGCGCAUGCAGGCGGUCUGGUCAGUCAGAUGUGAAAGCCCCGGGCUCAACCCGGGAAUUGCAUUUGAUACUGCCAGACUAGAGUCCUUGAGAGGGGGGUAGAAUUUCAGGUGUAGCGGUGAAAUGCGUAGAGAUCUGAAGGAAUACCAGUGGCGAAGGCGGCCCCCUGGCAAGAGACUGACGCUCAGAUGCGAAAGCGUGGGGAGCAAACAGG
rnacentral:rRNA from 1 species